rnacentral:rRNA from 1 species
UACGUAGGGUGCGAGCGUUAAUCGGAAUUACUGGGCGUAAAGCGUGCGCAGGCGGUUCGUCGUGUCUGAUGUGAAAGCCCCGGGCUCAACCUGGGAAUGGCAUUGGAAACUGGCGGACUAGAGUGUGGCAGAGGGGGGUGGAAUUCCGCGUGUAGCAGUGAAAUGCGUAGAGAUGCGGAGGAACACCGAUGGCGAAGGCAGCCCCCUGGGCUAACACUGACGCUCAGGCACGAAAGCGUGGGGAGCAAACAGG